rnacentral:rRNA from 1 species
GAGGAUGCAAGCGUUAUCCGGAAUGAUUGGGCGUAAAGCGUCUGUAGGUGGCUUUUUAAGUCCGCCGUCAAAUCCCAGGGCUCAACUCUGGACAGGCGGUGGAAACUACCAAGCUGGAGUACGGUAGGGGCAGAGGGAAUUUCCGGUGGGGCGGUGAAAUGCGUAGAGAUCCGGAGGAACACCGACGGCGUAGGCAGCGCCCUAGACGAGACCUGACGCUCAGGCACGAAAGCGCGGGGAGCGAACAGG